rnacentral:rRNA from 1 species
GACAGAGGGUGCAAACGUUGCUCGGAAUUACUGGGCGUAAAGCGCGUGUAGGCGGUUCCGCCAGUCUGGUGUGAAAGCCCAGGGCUCAACCCUGGAAGCGCAUUGGAUACUACGGAGCUUGAGUCCUGAAGAGGAGAAUGGAAUUCCUGGUGUAGCGGUGAAAUGCGCAGAUAUCAGGAAGAACACCCGUGGCGAAGGCGGUUCUCUGGGACGGUACUGACGCUGAGACGCGAAAGCGUGGGGAGCGAACAGG